UUGUGGAAUAGGUGGUAUCCUGCUCUUGGUCUUGUUCAGGUGGAAUUGUCAAGUUUUAAUUGAGUAAUGGUAAUUGAUUGUCUGCAAUGUGUUGAAGUAGACCUACGUUGUCCAAUAUUAGGUAUAAUAAUAUACGAGGUACUGUUUUUAGUAUGGUCUCCAUGUCAGCCCUCCAAAAUAAAGAAUGUGGACUCAGUGGUCUGAUUAAAUUUAGCAUGAUCUGCUUAUAUUUGGCUAAUUCAGUCUUACAUGGGCUGCUACGAGGCCUGCAAAUACCAACUCUGCCAGUGUCAAUUUUCUCAGUAAUUAAGUUUAUUUCCAGUCAAAACUUUCAAAUAACACUGAUAUACCUAGUUUGAAAAGAUUCUUGAAUUAUCCCUUUGCUAUGAAAAUGAGCUGUUUUCCAUUACCCUAAUUUUAAUUUUGCCGUACGUGACUUUAGAUCAACUUUUCUUUCUGUUCUACAAAUUUGUGGAUCAUUGUUUUGUAAUAAAUGAUUUGAGUCGAAAGUUCCUGAUAAUAAAACUACAUAACUCCCUUAUGAUCUUGCAAGAUAUCUGAACCUCACCUGAUGU